rnacentral:rRNA from 1 species
CUUAGAUGUAAGUUUUAUACUAAGGUAGUACGAGGGGUUCUUGAAACCUGAGGGUUUUGGCGGUCUUUUUUCUUUUUAGAGGAACUUGCCCUGUGAUCGAUAACCCUCGUUUUAUUUAACUUAGUUUCGGUUUGUAUAUCGCUGUUGACGAUAUCUUUUGGGUGGGAUAUUAGUAAAAUAUUGUUCUUAAUUUCAAGUCAAGGUGCAGCUUAUGAUUAAGGUUGAGGUGAGUUACUAUAAGGUUGUGUGGAUUUUUAAUUGAAAUUUUGAUUGAGAGUGGAUUUAAUAGUAAUUAAUUAGUAGAGAUUUUUAAUGAAUAGAGUUUAAAGAGAUGU